rnacentral:tRNA from 1 species
GGCCUAUAAUGGCAAUAUUAUUAGUCUUGAAAACUAGUUGGGGGCGUUCAAUUCGCCCAUAGGCCU